rnacentral:rRNA from 1 species
UAGCAAUACGAUGGAAAGUCUAGUGGCGAACGGGUGCUUAACACGUGGGCAACCUGCCAAGAAGUGGGGGAUAGCUCGCCGAAAGGCGAAUUAAUACCGCAUGUGAUUAGAGUGGACAUCCAUUCGAAAUUAAAGUCGGGGCAACCUGACGCUUCUUGUGGGGCCCGCGGCCUAUCAGCUAGUUGGUGAGGUAACGGCUCACCAAGGCUUUGACGGGUAGCUGGUCUGAGAGGACGACCAGCCACACUGGAACUGAGACACGGCCCAGACACCUACGGGUGGCAGCAGUCGAGAAUUUUUGACAAUGGGGGAAACCCUGAUCGAGCGACGCCGCGUGGAGGAUGAAGGUCUUCGGAUUGUAAACUCCUGUCAUUGGGGAACAAUGCGUGACGCUUAACUGCCGUUGCGUUGAUAGUACCCGAAGAGGAAGAGACGGCUAACUCUGUGCCAGCAGCCGCGGUAAUAUAGAGGUCUCAAGCGUUGUUCGGAUUCAUUGGGCGUAAAGGGUGCGUAGGCGGCGCGGUAAGUCGGGUGUGAAAUCUCGGAGCUUAACUCCGAAACUGCAUUCGAUACUGCCGUGCUUGAGGACUGGAGAGGAGACUGGAAUUCACGGUGUAGCA